rnacentral:lncRNA from 1 species
CCUCAAGUUUUCCUUCAUGCUGCAUUUCCCUUGACUCCUCAAAUUCCUCAGAAUUUAUAGUCAGUAACUUCCAAAUCUUCGUUCUUCACUAUUUGUUUGAGCUCUAGGCCUGCUGCACAAUCUAUAAUUGAACAUGUUCAUUUUAUAUUCUCACCAAUAGUGCACAAGAACAUACUAUCUCCAGAUCCUUGCCAAUACUUGCUAUUUUCUGUUUUGUUUUUUGAUAAUAGUCAUCCUAAUGGGUAUAAGGUAUUUGACUUCCCUUUAUUUGAAGGCUCUAGUUUUUCUAAAAUUGAACUUAUGAGUGACAUUUUGUAGCAUUUUGUUACAAUAGCUUGCCUAUGAAUGGUGAAGCAAAAAGAUUUCAUUUAUGCUGCCUCAGUAAACUUAU